GCCCGUGUGGCGUAAUGGCUAACGCGUCUGACUUCUAAGCAAACUGUGUUAUUUAUCACAUCAGUUGUCUAGAGCGUAUCAGAAGAUUGCGAGUUCGAGUCUCGCCAUGGGCU
rnacentral:tRNA from 1 species